CCUACGGGUGACAGCAGUGGGGAAUAUUGGGCAAUGGGCGCAAGCCUGACCCAGCAACGCCGCGUGAAGGAAGACGGCUUUCGGGUUGUAAACUUCUUUUCUCAGGGACGAAGCAAGUGACGGUACCUGCGGAAUAAGCCACGACUAACUACGUGCCAGCAGCCGCGGUCAUACGUAGGUGGCAAGCGUUAUCCGGAUUUCCUGGGUGUAAAGGGCGUGUAGGCGGGAAAGCAAGUCAGAUGUGAAAACCAUGGGCUCAACCUGUGGCCUGCAUUUGAAACUGUUUUUCUUGAGUACUGGAGAGGCAGACGGAAUGCCUAGUGUAGCGGUGAAAUGCGUAGAUAUUAGGAGGAACACCAGUGGCGAAGGCGGUCUGCUGGACAGCAACUGACGCUGAGGCGCGAAAGCGUGGGGAGCAAACAGGAUUAGAUACCCUAGUAGUC
rnacentral:rRNA from 1 species